rnacentral:rRNA from 1 species
CACGUAGGCGGACUAUUAAGUCAGGGGUGAAAUCCCGGGGCUCAACCCCGGAACUGCCUUUGAUACUGGUAGUCUUGAGUUCGAGAGAGGUGAGUGGAAUUCCGAGUGUAGAGGUGAAAUUCGUAGAUAUUCGGAGGAACACCAGUGGCGAAGGCGGCUCACUGGCUCGAUACUGACGCUGAGGUGCGAAAGUGUGGGGAGCAAACA